rnacentral:rRNA from 1 species
GCCUACGGGGGGCAGCAGUGGGGAAUAUUGGACAAUGGGGGGAACCCUGAUCCAGCGACGCCGCGUGAGUGAAGAAGUAUUUCGGUAUGUAAAGCUCUAUCAGCAGGGAAGAAAAUGACGGUACCUGACUAAGAAGCCCCGGCUAACUACGUGCCAGCAGCCGCGGUAAUACGUAGGGGGCAAGCGUUAUCCGGAUUUACUGGGUGUAAAGGGAGCGUAGACGGUGCAGCAAGUCUGAUGUGAAAGGCCGGGGCUCAACCCCGGGACUGCAUUGGAAACUGGCAUGCUGGAGUGCCGGAGGGGCA